GUGCAGGUUAAGUUACAGAGCAGCUGCUCGGUGCUGCGCUGUCGUUCCCCCUGCAAACAUCAACCUGUUUCCUACUAUCCCUGUCCGUCCGCACCCCACGACUGGCAGGGACGCUUGGUCCCAGACAC